rnacentral:rRNA from 1 species
UACGUAGGGUGCAAGCGUUGUCCGGAAUUAUUGGGCGUAAAGAGCUCGUAGGCGGUUUGUCGCGUCUGCUGUGAAAACUGGGGGCUCAACCCCCAGCCUGCAGUGGGUACGGGCAGACUAGAGUGCGGUAGGGGAGAUUGGAAUUCCUGGUGUAGCGGUGGAAUGCGCAGAUAUCAGGAGGAACACCGAUGGCGAAGGCAGAUCUCUGGGCCGCUACUGACGCUGAGAAGCGAAAGCAUGGGGAGCGAACAGG